AUUAAAUCCUAAUUCCCCUUGUAUCUAACCCUAGCCGCCAUUUGUCCUUCCCCUAUUACACCCACGGCAGAGGAAAACAAAAGAAAAUAAGGAAAGAAAGAAAGAAAGAAAGAAAGAAAGAAAAGAAGAGAAGAGGGAGGCGGCGCGAUGGGUGUCACUGCCACCGCCGCCGCCGCUGCUAAUCGAGAGAAGGGGAGAUCCAAGAAAGAGAGAGAGAGCGUUGGUGGGAGAGGAAGACCGCUGCUACAGCUGCCGCCGUUCGUCCUCCAGCUCGUCGCCACCAUCGCGGAUUGCCACUGACCUCGCGCCCGUCGCCGUCGACCACGAGCCAGAGGAGAAGAAGAACGAUGCUAUUACGCCGUUCCUCGCUGCAGAUGAAGCUCGCCGCCGCAGCUGUUACUAUUCGCGCCGUCGUCGUCGCCGAAGGGAGCCAUCGUCGCUGUCAUCGGAACAGAGGGCGAGAGAGAGACAGAGAGCUCGCGGUGGGGGAAAGGAUAGGCGCCGCCGUGCUGCGUGAAGCUACCGCCGCCGUUCCUGCCGCCGUCCAGCCUCAGUUAGCACCGCCGAAGCUCUUGCCAUCACCGUCGUUGAAGAAUCUCACCGGAGUUGCUGGAGGCUACCGCCGGAGACCGUAUCUGAAGCCUCUGUCUUAUUGGAUUUUGGUUGUUGCAAGUUACUCGGCUAUAGCUGUUGUCGGAACCAGGCCAGAUUUACCGUGUUACUGCCAUCAGGACAGAUGCAUAGGUCCCUGAUUAUGUUCUUUGCUGCUCCAUCGUUGUGUUUUCUAUAGCUGCAGUCGAGUUUCGGUAAUCGCAUGGUUGGAGUAAAAGCCGUUUUUGUUUGCUGUGAAAGUAAUCGGAACUGCGGAUGCAGCUGCCGCUGAAUGCGAGCCGAAAGAAAAAGAGUUUAUGUCUGGUAGUUAGAUCGCAAUCGAGACGCAGUGCCUCACCACAACAAGGACCACCUCUCAUCCCUCAAAUCCUUCUUCGUCCCCUCCUCCUCCGCCCAAAACCGUCGAUGAUGUUUGAAAAGACAUGAACCUAACCCACUGUGACAGAGACUCACCUCAAUCUAAUCACCGCCUGUUCGAGAAAAUGACCAUUGAGGCUUUCCUCUAAAAAAACGUUGCCGUCACGAAUGACGACAUCACCGUUGUUGCUCCUUUUUAUAAUCUUCAUCCUGUUCCUCAUCAGUUCCCGCAGGUGUCCGCCGUGGAAGGCUCAUCCUCCUCCGUGACUGAGCCUUUUGCCAAUGGGAUGCUGCGGUGGCAAGUGGAGUCCCAGCAACCUCUUCAGCAUCAGGAGGAGGCGAUGGUGGUGGAGGAGUUGUAGCUGCGGUGGCAAUGGGGAAGAGAAGGGUGGUGGAGGAAGCAGUGGACAAGGCCAAACUUCAAUGAGUCUGCUCCUAGGUUCAGGGAAUGCAAACAGCUACUUACCCCCUUUUUUAAUUUUUUUUUUAAUGAAGUUUCAUUUUUUAUAUAAUUCUAUUUGAUGUUUGGAAAAUAGAGAUUCUUAUUUUGGUUUUUUCUAAGGCCAUCCUUCUUGUAUCUUGUUUGCCGGAACUUUAUGUCAGGAAGCCAGAAUGCUUAAUUGCCAUCGUAGAGUUAUGUGUGAAGCUGCCAAAAAGUCAUUGAAAGAGAAGAAACUGCACAUUGGUCCAUGGAAGAAGAGUAGAUUCAUGCAACUAAAGUGGUCAGGCUUCAAUCAAACAUUGACUUUAGCAAAUUCCAUGGGUGAUAUUCCAGCUAAUGAACCUUACCUGAGAAUUUCUGGUGCUCCUACUGUGCUAGUCACAUGAAAGUAAUUGAGUUAGGUGAAGGUUGAAUCCCAAUGGUGGCUUUUGCAGAAGGAUUUUGAAUUGAGACCUUGUAGUAGAAACUCAUAAUUUAAUGUUCCAAGUUAUGUAAUAGAAACUCUGUUUUGUGUUGUAAAUGGUUUGGUCUAAUUUGAUCCAGGUCAAUUUACGUGUAUGAGACAUAAGCUUUGCACUAUUAUCAUGAGUGCCAACAGAUACCAGGAAAAAAAAUUAAAGCAAAGAAGCUUUUGCAA